rnacentral:rRNA from 1 species
GGCCAGACUCCUACGGGAGGCAGCAGUGAGGAAUAUUGGUCAAUGGGCGAGAGCCUGAACCAGCCAAGUCGCGUGAGGGAAGACGGUCCUACGGAUUGUAAACCUCUUUUGUCAGGGAGCAAGGAGCGCCACGAGUGGUGCGGCGAGAGUACCUGAAGAAAAAGCAUCGGCUAACUCCGUGCCAGCAGCCGCGGUAACACGGAGGAUGCGAGCGUUAUCCGGAUUUAUUGGGUUUAAAGGGUGCGCAGGCGGAAUGUCAAGUCAGCGGUAAAAUUUCGGGGCUCAACCCCGUCGUGCCGUUGAAACUGGCGUUCUUGAGUGAGCGAGAAGUAUGCGGAAUGCGUGGUGUAGCGGUGAAAUGCAUAGAUAUCACGCAGAACUCCGAUUGCGAAGGCAGCAUACCGGCGCUCAACUGACGCUCAUGCACGAAAGCGUGGGUAUCGAACAGGAUUAGAUACCCGAGUA